GUAGCUCAGUGGUAGAGCAUCUGCUUUGCAUGCAGAAGGGCUCCAAAUUCAACCCCUGGGGUCUCUA